rnacentral:rRNA from 1 species
UGCGUAGGUGGAUUGGCAAGUUGAAAUUUAAAUCCCGCAGCUUAACUGCGGACCUGGUUUCAAAACUGCUAGUCUUGAGUUCGAAAGAGGGGAGUGGAAUUCCUAGUGUAGCGGUGGAAUGCGUAGAUAUUAGGAGGAACACCAGUGGCGAAGGCGGCUCUCUGGUUCGAUACUGACACUAAGGCACGAAAGCGUGGGGAGCAAACAGGAUUAGAUACCCUGGUAGUCC